AGAGUUUGAUCCUGGCUCAGGAUGAACGCUAGCUACAGGCUUAACACAUGCAAGUCGAGGGGCAGCAUGGUCUUAGCUUGCUAAGGCCGAUGGCGACCGGCGCACGGGUGAGUAACACGUAUCCAACCUGCCGUCUACUCUUGGACAGCCUUCUGAAAGGAAGAUUAAUACAAGAUGGCAUCAUGAGUCCACAUGUUCACAUGAUUAAAGGUAUUCCGGUAGACGAUGGGGAUGCGUUCCAUUAGAUAGUAGGCGGGGUAACGGCCCACCUAGUCUUCGAUGGAUAGGGGUUCUGAGAGGAAGGUCCCCCACAUUGGAACUGAGACACGGUCCAAACUCCUACGGGAGGCAGCAGUGAGGAAUAUUGGUCAAUGGGCGAGAGCCUGAACCAGCCAAGUAGCGUGAAGGAUGACUGCCCUAUGGGUUGUAAACUUCUUUUAUAAAGGAAUAAAGUCGGGUAUGGAUACCCGUUUGCAUGUACUUUAUGAAUAAGGAUCGGCUAACUCCGUGCCAGCAGCCGCGGUAAUACGGAGGAUCCGAGCGUUAUCCGGAUUUAUUGGGUUUAAAGGGAGCGUAGAUGGAUGUUUAAGUCAGUUGUGAAAGUUUGCGGCUCAACCGUAAAAUUGCAGUUGAUACUGGAUAUCUUGAGUGCAGUUGAGGCAGGCGGAAUUCGUGGUGUAGCGGUGAAAUGCUUAGAUAUCACGAAGAACUCCGAUUGCGAAGGCAGCCUGCUAAGCUGCAACUGACAUUGAGGCUCGAAAGUGUGGGUAUCAAACAGGAUUAGAUACCCUGGUAGUCCACACGGUAAACGAUGAAUACUCGCUGUUUGCGAUAUAC
rnacentral:rRNA from 1 species